AUACGUAGGGGGCGAGCGUUGUCCGGAAUGACUGGGCGUAAAGGGCGUGUAGGCGGUUGUCUAAGUCUGGAGUGAAAGUCCUGCUUUCAAGGUGGGAAUAGCUUUGGAUACUGGAUGACUUGUGUGCGGAAGAGGGAAGUGGAAGUCCCAGUGGAGCGGUGGAAUGGGUAGAGAUUGGGAGGAACACCAGUGGCGAAGGCGACUUACUGGGCCGUAACUGACGCUGAGGCGCGAAAGCGUGGGGAGCGAACAGGAUUAGAUACCCUGGUAGUCCACGCGGUAAACGAUGAAUGCUAGGUGUUGCGGGUAUCGACCCCUGCAGUGCCGGAGUAAACACAAUAAGCAUUCCGCCUGGGGAGUACGGCCGCAAGGUUGAAACUCAAAUGAAUUGACGGGG
rnacentral:rRNA from 1 species